UUUUUUGCUUCAAACCCUUACCAAACCUUCACAUAACUAAUUCCAUUAACAUCAUCCAGAAUCUCCCAUCCACACCAAUAAACAUAAGAUCAAAGAUAUAAGAUUCCCUCAAUACAAAAAAAUAAUUUAUACAAAUCCAGAUCCAUGCGGUAUACACGAGUUGCUACACAUAGUCAUUCAAGGAACACCUUUCAUCCAUCAUCGCCGGCGAGAAGAAGAAGAAAACGAAGAGGGUCAUCGGCCUACCUUACCCAGUUCAGACCACAUAGAGUGGGUUAACCGCUGUCUUGCU
rnacentral:lncRNA from 1 species